GUGAGGAAUAUUGGUCAAUGGACGGGAGUCUGAACCAGCCAAGUAGCGUGCAGGAUGACGGCCCUAUGGGUUGUAAACUGCUUUUGUGCGGGGAUAAAGUGUGGGACGUGUCCCAUAUUGCAGGUACCGCAUGAAUAAGGACCGGCUAAUUCCGUGCCAGCAGCCGCGGUAAUACGGAAGGUCCGGGCGUUAUCCGGAUUUAUUGGGUUUAAAGGGAGCGUAGGCCGGAGAUUAAGCGUGUUGUGAAAUGCCGCGGCUCAACCGUGGCACUGCAGCGCGAACUGGUUUUCUUGAGUGCGCGCGACGCAGGCGGAAUUCGUGGUGUAGCGGUGAAAUGCUUAGAUAUCACGAGGAACCCCGAUUGCGAAGGCAGCUUGCGGGAGCGCAACUGACGCUGAAGCUCGAAGGUGCGGGUAUCGAACAGGAUUAGAAACCCUAGUAGUCC
rnacentral:rRNA from 1 species